CAGAGUUCAUGCCCUUACGGGUAGAUCUCCCACCCUAUGUUAUUAUUACUUUGUUGCUUUGGCGGGCCGUUAGGCCCUUGGCCCGACUACCGGCUUCGGCUGAUAAGCGCCCGCCAGAGGACCCCUAAACUCUGUUUGUUAAUGUCGUCUGAGUACUAUUUAAUAGUUA
rnacentral:misc_RNA from 1 species